rnacentral:rRNA from 1 species
AACGAACGCUGGCGGCAUGCCUAACACAUGCAAGUCGAACGAGACCUUCGGGUCUAGUGGCGCACGGGUGCGUAACACGUGGGAAUUUGCCUCGGGGUAUGGAAUAACUCAGGGAAACUUGAGCUAAUACCAUAUAAUGUCUUCGGACCAAAGAUUUAUCGCCCUGAGAUAAGCCCGCGUAGGAUUAGCUAGUUGGUGGGGUAAAGGCUCACCAAGGCGACGAUCCUUAGCUGGUCUGAGAGGAUGAUCAGCCACACUGGGACUGAGACACGGCCCAGACUCCUACGGGAGGCAGCAGUGGGAAUCUUAGACAAUGGGCGCAAGCCUGAUCUAGCCAUGCCCGCGUGAGCGAUGAAGGCCUUAGGGUGUAAAGCUCUUUCAGAUGGGAAGAUAAUGACGGUACCAUCGAGAAGAAGCCCCCGGCU